rnacentral:rRNA from 1 species
UACGGAGGGUGCGAGCGUUAAUCGGAAUUACUGGGCGUAAAGGGUGCGUAGGUUGUCCAUUAAGUUAUCUGUGAAAUACCUGGGCUUAACCUGGGGAAGUCAGAUAAGACUGGAGGACUCGAGUACGGGAGAGGGUAGUGGAAUUUCCGGUGUAGCGGUGAAAUGCGUAGAGAUCGGAAGGAACACCGGUGGCGAAGGCGGCUACCUGGCCUGAUACUGACACUGAGGCACGAAAGCGUGGGGAGCAAACAGG